GAUGAAGAACGUAGCGAAAUGCGAUAAGUAAUGUGAAUUGCAGAAUUCAGUGAAUCAUCGAAUCUUUGAACGCACAUUGCGCCCGCCAGUAUUCUGGCGGGCAUGCCUGUUCGAGCGUCAUUUCAACCCUCAGGCCCCCGGGCCUGGCGUUGGGGAUCGGCGGAAGCCCCCUGUGGGCACACGCCGUCCCUCAAAUACAGUGGCGGUCCCGCCGCAGCUUCCAUUGCGUAGUAGCUAACACCUCGCAACUGGAGAGCGGCGCGGCCAUGCCGUAAAACACCCAACUUCUGAAUGUUGACCUCGAAUCAGGUAGGAAUACCCGCUGAACUUAAGCAUAUCAAUAAGCGGAGGA
rnacentral:misc_RNA from 1 species